rnacentral:lncRNA from 1 species
GUGCGAGGCCCAGACUGAGGGCGAAACAGCAGGCAGGACUGGGUGGAGACGUUCGGGGACGUGGCAACUGGAGUUUCUUCUCCGUAUAUUUCGGCAUUCAGUUCCUUUUUUUUUUUGUUUUAACUCAGGAAAAAAUCUCAAUUGCGUUUAGUAUUUUGAAAGCCACUUUAUUGCUUCCCGAGCCUCAGUCAUGUGUGGUGGGAGGCUGCUGUGGGUGGCACCUGGGGCGUCCACGGCCGCCAAGGCGGGAGGACGUCAGGCCCUGCUUGCUCCCACCCCUUCCAGGUGAGAGCUCCCGGGCACGCCCGUCGUUGGCUCUUCGUCCUCUUGGUGUUCUUCCCUGUUGCUUCAAAUCAGGUUCCUGUCUCAAAAAUCCGAAAAAGAAAUCCUCCCAAAUGACUCUGUGCCCGACGCUCCGUUAAGGCAUCGUGCUAGGCGUUCUCAAACUCGUGAAAUGACUACACUGCACAGGUUAACCUCAUUGCUACUCUUCCCCUUGCCUCCUAAUUCUCUGGUUAAACUUCCGCCCCCGAGGUUUCUAGAAAUCCCUGAGCUGGAAUGCGCUGCCUUCAUUAAGAGGGUGUUCUGCUUCCGUCUGCUCACAUUCAUCUAGUAAGCCCUCUCGUUAAAGAGGAGGCAGCACACCGAGGCCUGUCUAGAACUUCUUUCAUUUAACCAACAGUGAAUAUCUAAUCUACAAGAAACUGGAGCCGUGGCAGUUUAGGAGCCUGCCAAGGUUGCAUCCCUGGGAGCUUAUUUUCUAUUGUGGGAGACAGGAAAAGAACAAGUGAAUCAACUGUGAAAUUAAAUAAUUCAAACUUAAAGCUGUUGGAACUUUAAAUUAUUCUGAGCCUUGCGAAGAAUGUGGCGAUGGGGCCUGAGUCCCAUGGCAUACAGCUGCAAUGUCUGCCUUGUUUUUUCCUAUAAUCAGGAAGACCAAACAGAGACAGAGGCGCACACACCAAGAAAGGCCAUGUGGGCACACAGCAAGAUGGUGCCUGUCUGCAAACUAGGAAAAGAGCCCUCACCAGGAACUGAAACAGCUGGCACCUUGAUGUUGGACUUUCCAGCCUCCACAACUGUGAGAGGUAAGUUUCUGUUGUUUAAACCACCUAGUCUAUGAUAUUUUGUUAUGGCAGCCCAAGCAAACACCAACAUUUGCCAAUUUUGAUUUAUUUUUUACAUAUAUGAUGUAAAAAGUAAUCUUUACAAAGUAUCAUAUGUCUCAUUAUUUCAUGCAGAAAUUGGUGACCAAAUCAAGGGGAAAAAUAAAGAGAUCCCAAAUAAUA